GACGAACGCUGGCGGCGUGCUUAACACAUGCAAGUCGAACGGAGCACCCUUGAUUGAGGUUUCGGCCAAAUGAUAGGAAUGCUUAGUGGCGGACUGGUGAGUAACGCGUGAGGAACCUGCCUUUCAGAGGGGGACAACAGUUGGAAACGACUGCUAAUACCGCAUGACGCAUUUUGAUCGCAUGGUCGAAAUGCCAAAGAUUUAUCGCUGAAAGGUGGCCUCGCGUCUGAUUAGCUAGUUGGUGAGGUAACGGCCCACCAAGGCGACGAUCGGUAGCCGGACUGAGAGGUUGACCGGCCACAUUGGGACUGAGAUACGGCCCAGACUCCUACGGGAGGCAGCAGUGGGGAAUAUUGGGCAAUGGGCGCAAGCCUGACCCAGCAACGCCGCGUGAAGGAAGAAGGCUUUCGGGUUGUAAACUUCUUUUAAGUGGGAAGAGUAGAAGACGGUACCACUUGAAUAAGCCACGGCUAACUACGUGCCAGCAGCCGCAGUAA
rnacentral:rRNA from 1 species